GUGCCAGCAGCCGCGGUAAUACGUAGGGGGCAAGCGUUGUCCGGAAUCAUUGGGCGUAAAGCGCGUGUAGGCGGUCCGAUAAGUCGGCUGUGAAAGUCCAGGGCUCAACUCUGGGAUGCCGGCCGAUACUGUCGGACUAGAGUUCGGAAGAGGCGAGUGGAAUUCCCGGUGUAGCGGUGAAAUGCGCAGAUAUCGGGAGGAACACCAAUGGCGAAGGCAGCUCGCUGGGACGUUACUGACGCUGAGACGCGAAAGCGUGGGGAGCAAACAGGAUUAGAAACCCGGGUAGUCC
rnacentral:rRNA from 1 species